rnacentral:rRNA from 1 species
AGAGUUUGAUCCUGGCUCAGAACGAACGCUGGCGGCAGGCUUAACACAUGCAAGUCGAACGCACCGCAAGGUGAGUGGCAGACGGGUGAGUAACGCGUGGGAACCUUCCCUGUGGUACGGAAUAACUUCGGGAAACCGAAGCUAAUACCGUAUAUCCCCUCCGGGGGAAAGAUUUAUCGCCAUAGGAUGGGCCCGCGUUGGAUUAGCUAGUUGGUAGGGUAAUGGCCUACCAAGGCAACGAUCCAUAGUUGGUCUGAGAGGAUGAUCAGCCACGCUGGGACUGAGACACGGCCCAGACUCCUACGGGAGGCAGCAGUGGGGAAUAUUGGACAAUGGGCGCAAGCCUGAUCCAGCCAUGCCGCGUGAGUGAAGAAGGCCUUAGGGUUGUAAA